rnacentral:rRNA from 1 species
GAUGAACGCUGGCGGCGUGCCUAAUACAUGCAAGUCGAGCGAACGGACGAGAAGCUUGCUUCUCUGAUGUUAGCGGCGGACGGGUGAGUAACACGUGGAUAACCUACCUAUAAGACUGGGAUAACUUCGGGAAACCGGAGCUAAUACCGGAUAAUAUUUUGAACCGCAUGGUUCAAAAGUGAAAGACGGUCUUGCUGUCACUUAUAGAUGGAUCCGCGCUGCAUUAGCUAGUUGGUAAGGUAACGGCUUACCAAGGCAACGAUGCAUAGCCGACCUGAGAGGGUGAUCGGCCACACUGGAACUGAGACACGGUCCAGACUCCUACGGGAGGCAGCAGUAGGGAAUCUUCCGCAAUGGGCGAAAGCCUGACGGAGCAACGCCGCGUGAGUGAUGAAGGUCUUCGGAUCGUAAAACUCUGUUAUUAGGGAAGAACAUAUGUGUAAGUAACUGUGCACAUCUUGACGGUACCUAAUCAGAAAGCCACGGCUAACUACGUGCCAGCAGCCGCGGUAAUACGUAGGUGGCAAGCGUUAUCGGGAUUAUUGGGCGUAAAGCGCGCGUAGGCGGUUUUUUAAGUCUGAUGUGAAAGCCCACGGCUCAACCGUGGAGGGUCAUUGGAAACUGGAAAACUUGAGUGCAGAAGAGGAAAGUGGAAUUCCAUGUGUAGCGGUGAAAUGCGCAGAGAUAUGGAGGAACACCAGUGGCGAAGGCGACUUUCUGGUCUGUAACUGACGCUGAUGUGCGAAAGCGUGGGGAUCAAACAGGAUUAGAUACCCUGGUAGUCCACGCCGUAAACGAUGAGUGCUAAGUGUUAGGGGGUUUCCGCCCCUUAGUGCUGCAGCUAACGCAUUAAGCACUCCGCCUGGGGAGUACGACCGCAAGGUUGAAACUCAAAGGAAUUGACGGGGACCCGCACAAGCGGUGGAGCAUGUGGUUUAAUUCGAAGCAACGCGAAGAACCUUACCAAAUCUUGACAUCCUUUGACAACUCUAGAGAUAGAGCCUUCCCCUUCGGGGGACAAAGUGACAGGUGGUGCAUGGUUGUCGUCAGCUCGUGUCGUGAGAUGUUGGGUUAAGUCCCGCAACGAGCGCAACCCUUAAGCUUAGUUGCCAUCAUUAAGUUGGGCACUCUAAGUUGACUGCCGGUGACAAACCGGAGGAAGGUGGGGAUGACGUCAAAUCAUCAUGCCCCUUAUGAUUUGGGCUACACACGUGCUACAAUGGACAAUACAAAGGGCAGCGAAACCGCGAGGUCAAGCAAAUCCCAUAAAGUUGUUCUCAGUUCGGAUUGUAGUCUGCAACUCGACUACAUGAAGCUGGAAUCGCUAGUAAUCGUAGAUCAGCAUGCUACGGUGAAUACGUUCCCGGGUCU